rnacentral:rRNA from 1 species
GAUGAACGCUGGCGGCGUGCUUAACACAUGCAAGUCGAACGGAGUUUAUAAGCGGAAGUUUUUGGAUGGAAACUUAUGAACUUAGUGGCGGACGGGUGAGUAACGCGUGGGUAACCUGCCUCAUACAGGGGGAUAACAGUUGGAAACGACUGCUAACACCGCAUAAGCGCACAGUGCUGCAUGGCACAGUGUGAAAAAAUUUAUUGGUAUGAGAUGGACCCGCGUCUGAUUAGCUAGUUGGUGGGGUAAAGGCCUACCAAGGCGACGAUCAGUAGCCGGCUUGAGAGAGUGAACGGCCACAUUGGGACUGAGACACGGCCCAAACUCCUACGGGAGGCAGCAGUGGGGAAUAUUGCACAAUGGGGGAAACCCUGAUGCAGCGACGCCGCGUGAGUGAAGAAGUAUUUCGGUAUGUAAAGCUCUAUCAGCAGGGACGAUAAUGACGGUACCUGACUAAGAAGCCCCGGCUAACUACGUGCCAGCCGCCGCGGUAA